rnacentral:rRNA from 1 species
GAACGGGUGCGUAACGCGUAUGCAAUCUACCUUUUACUAGGGUAUAGCCCGAAGAAAUUUGGAUUAAUCCCCUAUAACAUCAUGAAUUCGCAUGAUUUUAUGAUUAAAGCUUCGGCGGUAAAAGAUGAGCAUGCGUCCUAUUAGUUAGUAGGUGAGGUAACGGCUCACCUAGACUACGAUAGGUAGGGGUCCUGAGAGGGAGAUCCCCCACACUGGUACUGAGACACGGACCAGACUCCUACGGGAGGCAGCAGUGAGGAAUAUUGGACAAUGGACGAAAGUCUGAUCCAGCUAUGCCGCGUGCAGGAUGACGGCCCUAUGGGUUGUAAACUGCUUUUAUACAGGAAGAAAAAAUCCGACGUGUCGGAUCUUGACGGUAC